AUGUUAUUGAUGCUACCACUCACAGACAGGUGGGAGGAGAUCUCUGCUCACAAGGAGGAUCUCAGUGCUCCAGAUAUGAGUGGGAUGAGCCAUGUCUCAUGCUUUCUACAAUGGAUUUUAACUUAAGCUCUAGGACCCAAGAAGCACUGAGAAUUUCCCCUGGAGUCAGGCUGUAUCCCAGCCCUUCUGCAGAACAAGAUUCAGAUCCUCAGACUGAGGAGCUUCCAUACCAAGGUUCACACUCACAACGGAUUACUGCAUGGUUGCAGUUGCAAACGAUUCCUGUGGAAGAAUUGCACCACCUCACCAUUUGCUAAGCAGCCCAGCACAGUGGUAUGAAAGGAGACUGUUACAGGUCUGAGCAAGCUGAGCUGAUGGAGUAUCUCUAUGAACUGGUGAGGGUGUGCCUGGCAGGGUCUGCACGGACAUGAGGUAUGGUGUGCAGGAAGUGCUCUGCCCAUGCAGGCACAGCAGCAGGGAAAGCACUGCAUCUCGAGGAGCCAUUCUGAUGUGUGCUCCCUCAGUAUUAAGAUCUCUCCGGGCUUUCUGUAUCUGGUAAUAUUGCUCUUGUUUUAAAUUCUUCUCAUAAUUUCAAGGGAAAAUUCUUUGUGACAAACGCUGUUGAUUUAAAACUAAUGUUUAGCCAGAAAUGGGUAAUUGUAUUAGACCAAAAAAAAAGCUGCUGUAAAAUCGGCCCCAGUCUGAUUUUUAAUUUACUGCAUCAUCAGCUACUUUUAUGAUACUAUUUAAUCUGCUGAAAUAAAACUAUUGCUCUAUGAAUGUCUCUGACGCUC
rnacentral:lncRNA from 1 species